rnacentral:misc_RNA from 1 species
GAUGAAGAACGCAGCGAAAUGCGAUAAGUAAUGUGAAUUGCAGAAUUCAGUGAAUCAUCGAAUCUUUGAACGCACAUUGCGCCCGCCAGUAUUCUGGCGGGCAUGCCUGUUCGAGCGUCAUUCCAACCCUCAAGCCCCAGCGGCCUGGUGUUGGGGACCGGCGACCUCGCCCGAGCCCGCCCUCCGGGGCGCGUGCCCGGUGCGUCCGCCGCCCCCGAAAUGAAUUGGCGGCCUCGUCGCGGCCUCCUCUGCGUAGUAGCACAACCUCGCAAGCGGGAGCGCGACGCGGCCACUGCCGUAAAACGCCCAACUUUUUUAGAGUUGACCUCGGAUCAGGUAGGAAUACCCGCUGAACUUAAGCAUAUCAAUAAGCGGAGA